GAUGAAGAGGGGCAGGAAAACAGAGACGUGACCAACUAGAGGAGGCUCCUCAGAGGCUGCUGGGAUGAGGAGUGACAAAAGACCUGCAGCAGUGGCAAGCUAAGUGAGAAGGGGUAAAUGUCCCAUGGAAGUCACUUGGUAUGGUAAUGGCAGAAGAUCUCUGAAUGCAACAAGGUUUAGUGCUCAUUCUUAAGAAGUUUUGUGUAUUGUCCUAGAUAUUGAACAUUGCUGCUGCUCCCAAAACAUUCCUACUAACAAACAUCUUACAUAUGGACUGUUUGAGGUAUUGAGAUCAAAGAGAAUGACUUCUGUUUUGGGGACUGUGUGAGGAGUAGAGAAGAGACCAGGUGCCUUGAGAAAUACAGAAGGGAGAUGAAAAGGAAGGAGGCCUGAGUUUCUCAAACCCUGCACAUUCCCCAGAAAUGACUAUUUUCAGGACUGACUGUUGGCUAGUUCUUGGGAAGCAAAUGCUGAGUUUUGGAAUGUUCUGCCUGGGAAGAGUGUUUUUGUACGGCUGAGGCCUUACGCUGCAUGGCACCAGUUGAACAGCUUGUUAACGCUAGCAAUGUGAUUUAUGCUGAAUGCCUAAUUCUGCUCUGGAGAACUGGAAUCUGAGUAUCUGAGUUCAGCCAUAUAAAUGCUUCAGGUCUGCAGGACUGGCUCCCAAUAAGAACCCUGGACACAAAGGCUCAGGUGAGCUUCCUAGACACCAAUACUCAGGUGAGCUGUAUGGAAACUAACGCUCAGGUGAGCUUCCUGGACUCCAAGGCCCAGGUGAGCUUCCUGGACUCCAAGGUGCAGGUGAGCUUCCUGGACUCCAAGGCCAGGUGAUGUUCUGGACACUCAGGCUCAGCAACAUCUACCACCAGCUGAAGCAUGUGCAAGUGGCGGCAACUGGAGUGAACCAGAUGCUGCCUGAACCCAGACCCUCUUCUUUCAAGACCCACAUCAAGAGGCCAUUUCUCAUGGUCCCUACAAGUAGACACUGCCAGUGACCUAGUGACACUCAGCACUUCCAGACCCAUGCAGGGAGCCUUCCACAUGAUUGAAUCUUUC
rnacentral:lncRNA from 1 species